rnacentral:lncRNA from 1 species
UGAAAGAUGAGCAACAUCUGAUCAAUUGUCUAAAUUGUGAUCAAACACCGUAGAGAUAUAUGAUAUGACAACAACACUGAGAAUGUGAUUGUUGUGAAACUUCAACGUGAUUGUGCAGUACCUACUGAAGUAACUACCAUAUAUAUGUGGCCAUCCUUUUUCUAUGUGAGCAAAUCCAAAUCAACCAAAGAUAUCUGAAACUACUCAAUGUCUCUGUAGGCAUAUUUUUCAUCGACAUAUUUAUGGUAUCUUGAUGCUUCACUCUUGAUUCUCUUGAGUCCAUCAGAAUGGUCUUCAUGGCGCGGACUUUCUCCUUCAUCUACUAAAAACCUGAUGUCACCAAAAAGACGAAUCAUCUUGUACAUAAAAACAUUACAUCACUAACAAAUUUCUAUGAUCAAUAUAUACUCCUCAUUGUGAAGAUUUAGAGCAUAUCCAAACUGAGAAUAGUUAGAAUAUAUCUAGCUAAUCCUAACUGAGAAGAGUUAGAACAUAUCCAAACUUCCUAGUGAGACUUAUGUAUUUCUAGGAAGCUUAGGCCGGGUUACAAUUAUGUAUGUAAUGCCUUAGGAAAAUCAAAUAAAACAACAAUAAGGGAGCUAGCUACCUCACCCUUUGAUUCAAAGUUGCACAGUGUUGAUGCCCGGGAGGAACAUGCUGCCCAGAAACAAAAGUUUUGUUUUCGUAGAAAAAAACUUGUUGGUAAGCAUGACUGAAAUUACUACCUUGGGUGCGGUAUGGGUUGUCCUCAUCCUGGUCUGCCAACAUGAUCAGCUUUGGCGGCAGCUGGCGAUGUGGUUGCGAGGCUUGGGCGCCAUGGCGAGGACGUCGUCCAGGAUGCCACAUGAGCCUGUCAAGCUCAAGGAUAGGGGGCUUCGGCAGUGGCAAAAGGAUGCACAUAUGGAUGUUCCCUUACCAGGCGUCGUUGUCGACCUGCUAGUCAACAUUCAUCUCUUACUCUGGUUGUGCUAUUAUGCGGGCAUGUGGUGCUUAGUUUUAAUUUCCCUGUCGUUCUUAGACCAUGACUGAUCAAUCACCACCAUACAUUUAUAUGAUCUAUUACUCCGUACUUGUUACUCUUGUUUCUCUGCAUUGUUUGCUGCAAAAAUUAAAACUUUGAGGUGCAGAUUCACAAGAAUGUCAGGACAAUAUUCAAAAUAUUUUCUUUUGAGCUUUGUUCAUACGAAAAGUGACAUUGUAGGUUGGAUUGCUAGCUCAAGGUGCAUGAGAGAUCAAAAAAACAAAAAUCUCCAAGGAUAUUUUACCCACGUGCACACACAAAUGGGCACACAACCAAAACUUAUAUCCUUUUAGUCUAUUGGAAAAUGAAGAUACUAAUAUGCUGGAAUUCUAACCUUCAGAGAACUCCCAAUCGUCAUUCUGUAUGCACCUAUACAGGGGCAUUAUAUGUACUUCUCCCAAUCAUCAAUCUGCCGGGAAACUAAUUAUGGGCUGCAUAAGCUACCAGAUACAUAGAAAUAUGAUGCACGUGUUGUUGGAGUUGCAACCAAAACAGUCAUUCAUGCCCAUCUUCUCUGAAGUUUGAGGCAUCGGUUCUGUGAAGUCUUGCUAGCUGGUAUAAAAUGUGAACUUAUUAUAUUACCACUGCCAACCACUAAUGCGAAUUCUUGACCUUGUUUCCCUCAAAAACAAUAUUUCUCCACAUGAAGUUAUUUAUAAAAAAGGGACAACUUGCAUGGUUCUAAAGGUAAAACUACAAAAAUAAUAUAUAUCUCAAACUCAUGCACACCUUCAGCUAAAUAGCUACAGAGAUUCUGAGUGCAACCAUCCAUGCAACAUUGGUCUUAGAAACAACUCAAUUAUAAACACACCUGGGUCUAGGACUCUUGCUCAAUGGAUCUACCAGCCUCGGCUUCCCCCUGUGUUGCUAUCUUCCAUAUUUUAAUCUCCUCUCCAGUAGCUGUGUUAUGUCCAUUAUCAGACCCUCGACAUGAAGAAUGCAUCAAACAUAGUUAUGUGAUGCCUUGUUGGCUCCGACCUUCUUAAGAGAAGUAGUAUACUUUUUUUCCGAGAAAACAGAGAAGUAGUAUACUUGAUCAUAACACACAUGAGAGCAUUACAAUUUCAUACAUUAUAGACAACUAAUGGCUUGACUAAACUAACCAAGCACAUGUUAUGUUUAGUGUUUU